GUCCAAAACCACGCACGCGUGUGUCCACGUCGGAGACGUAAAAACAAGAGAGGAAUUUCGAUAUUUGGCAUCGAAUUCGCAGGCCUCACCUCUCUUGACAUUAAAUUCGCAAGUCUUUCAAAAUAUGACAUUGGACAUGCGAAUUCUUUCGAAACAGAGGUUUUCGACUUUUUUUCAUGAUUUCGCGAAUUUCCAUUAUCUUUUCCCUUUUCUGAGCACAUGAAGUACCCAAAAUACCCCUGACCCUAGAUCGAUUGGAUCAGAAUCGAUCCCCCUCUCUGCCGGGCUCUGUUCUUCCGUUCUUCAUCCUGUGGUCUCGUCACCUCGUCGCCGGGGGCUGAAGGCCGGCUGCCGCCGGAGAGCCGCCGAGCUCCGCCGCCUGGCCCCGCAGAAGCUCCGCCGCCCGCUCGCCCGUCUGCCGCAGGAGGUCCGCCGGGAGGGACGCCGCUCGGGCUCGGCGUGCUCGAAGGCUGUGGGAGCUCUGGCGGUCGCUUCUGCUCCAAGGCUGUUGGAGCGCCGCUUGUCGCUGGUGCUGGCUCCUGCGGCGGGUGCUCUGCGGCCAGCGCAGCGGCUGGCGCUCCUGCGGCGGGCAGGCGUCCUGGCUCGGGCGGGCGGCGCCUGUCGCGGAUGGAGGCCUCAGGCCGAGCAAGAACAAGGCAGAGGUCACAGGAGAAAGAACACGGGAGAUCGAUUCCAAUCAAUUGGAUAGGGUGAGGGUAGAAGGGGAAAUUCAAGUGCUCAGAAAAGAAAAAAAAACAUUAGUGAAAUUUACGAAAUCAUGAAAAAGAGCCGAAAACCCUGUUUCGAAAGAAUUCGCAUGCCCGAUGUCAUAUUUUGAAAAGCUUGCGAAUUUAAUGUCAAGAGAGGUGAGGCCUGCCAAUUCAAUAUCAAAUAUCGAAAUUCCUCAAAAAAAAAAGCUAGCGAGCGCCUGCAGGUUACAAAACCAAAAUUAAAAUAAUACCCAGAUAUUUUUGGAAACUUUCGUCCUUCUCCAAGCUGCAAAUAAAAAA